rnacentral:rRNA from 1 species
AGAACGACUCUCGGCAACGGAUAUCUCGGCUCUCGCAUCGAUGAAGAACGUAGCGAAAUGCGAUACUUGGUGUGAAUUGCAGAAUCCCGUGAACCAUCGAACGCAAGUUGCGCCCGAAGCCGUCAGGCCGAGGGCACGCCUGCCUGGGCGUCUCAC